rnacentral:lncRNA from 1 species
CUGAGCCACGCCCCCAGCCCCUCCCUGGGGGAUUCUAGGCAGGGGCUCUACCACUGAGCCACGCCCCCAGCCCCUCCCUGGGGGAUUCUAGGCAGGGGAUCUACCACUGAGCCACACCCCCAGCCCCUCACUGGGGGAAUCUAGGCAGGGGCUCUACCACUGAGCCACGCCCCCAGCCCCUCACUGGGGGAUUCUAGGCAGGGGCUCUACCACUGAGCUAUAUUCCCUAUCUAAAGAUUCCCUUUGGACAGCCAAACCCCAUUGUUCCCUCAUCCUGCUUUGGAGUUGUCCUGGUGGAACAGCCAGACUUGGGCCAGCUGCAGUCCCUCUCAAAGGUGACAAACCUGUGGGCCCUGUCCACUAAGACACACCCACCUUCUAGUCUGAGAGGCCAGGGUUCAUUUUCAACAUCAAGGAGGCCUCUCUUAGUAUGUCUGACCUCAGACAAGCCACAUAAACAGCAGUUCCAGAACUGAGUCAGGAAAGCAUUCUGUGUCGGCGGCCCUUUGAAGGGGCCCACUCUGCCACUUUAAAGUCGCAACUCCCAGGACUGCAGGAACAGUAGCAAAGGACAGAAAAGGCCUGCCAGGUAAGCACCGGCCAUAUUCGACCUCCUCUCUACGGGACCUGUUGCAGCUCAGACCCAUCACUGUGGAGACUGGCAGAACUUGCACUAAGGAACGCUGGGAAGGAGGAUCCAUCUUAUUUGCCACAGCAUGUCCUCAAGGCUCAGGGCACCAGCCCACGUGAGGUAGGCAUCAGGAAGACCAUUCUCUGCCAUCUCAAUUUUGAAGGUGGGGAAGUGUCACUGCUGCUCUCUCCACUUGUAAAUACUUUUAGAAAUCCCUUUGCAGGAACUGAGAGGGCUCAGUGGGUAAGAGCCCUUGCUGCAUGAGGGUGUGAAUCAGAAUCCUCACAUCCGUAUAAAAAGCUGGACGUGUCUACACAUGUACCUGUACCCUCAGCUCUUGGGGUGAGUGGGAGACAAGAGGGUCUGAGGCCUUGCUGGCCAGCCAAGCCCAAACAGCAAGCUCCAGCAAGACUCUGUCUGCCUCAGAAAACAGGGUUGUGAGGACUGGAGAGAUGGCCCAGCAGUUAAAUUAGGUGGGGGUGCGGGUGGGGGCUCUUCCAGAGGACCUGGGGUCCAUACUCAGCACCUACACGAAGUAGCGUACAACCGCCUGUAGUUCCAGGCCCAGGCCGUGCAAUGGCCCCUUCCGACUUCUGUGAGCACUUGGACACACACACACACACACACACACACACACACACACACACGGAUAAAAAUACAUGCUAACAGACAGAAACAAAAAGAAACAAAGAUGGCUCUAAGGGGCAGCGUGGAGUCUUUGACAAAGGACCCAGUGACCAGAGCUGAGACAGGAUACAGAAAAC